GCGCUCGUAGUUCAACCGGAUAGAACGUCGGAUUUCGGCUCCGAAGGUUGAGGGUUCGAGUCCUUCCGAGCGCAC
rnacentral:tRNA from 1 species